rnacentral:rRNA from 1 species
GGGACACGUGGUAUCCUGUCUGAAUAUGGGGGGACCAUCCUCCAAGGCUAAAUACUCCUGACUGACCGAUAGUGAACCAGUACCGUGAGGGAAAGGCGAAAAGAACCCCGGCGAGGGGAGUGAAAAAGAACCUGAAACCGUGUACGUACAAGCAGUGGGAGCACCUUCGGGUGUGACUGCGUACCUUUUGUAUAAUGGGUCAGCGACUUAUAUUCUGUAGCAAGGUUAACCGUAUAGGGGAGCCGCAGGGAAACCGAGUCUUAACUGGGCGUUAAGUUGCAGGGUAUAGACCCGAAACCCGGUGAUCUAGCCAUGGGCAGGUUGAAGGUUGGGUAACACUAACUGGAGGACCGAACCGACUAAUGUUGAAAAAUUAGCGGAUGACUUGUGGCUGGGGGUGAAAGGCCAAUCAAACCGGGAGAUAGCUGGUUCUCCCCGAAAGCUAUUUAGGUAGCGCCUCGUGAACUCAUCUUCGGGGGUAGAGCACUGUUUCGGCUAGGGGGUCAUCCCGACUUACCAACCCGAUGCAAACUACGAAUACCGAAGAAUGUUAUCACGGGAGACACACGGCGGGUGCUAACGUCCGUCGUGAAGAGGGAAACAACCCAGACCGCCAGCUAAGGUCCCAAAGUCAUGGUUAAGUGGGAAACGAUGUGGGAAGGCACAGACAGCCAGGAUGUUGGCUUAGAAGCAGCCAUCAUUUAAAGAAAGCGUAAUAGCUCACUGGUCGAGUCGGCCUGCGCGGAAGAUGUAACGGGGCUAAACCAUGCACCGAAGCUGCGGCAGCGACACUAUGUGUUGUUGGGUAGGGGAGCGUUCUGUAAGCCUGCGAAGGUGACCUGUGAGGGUUGCUGGAGGUAUCAGAAGUGCGAAUGCUGACAUAAGUAACGAUAAAGCGGGUGAAAAGCCCGCUCGCCGGAAGACCAAGGGUUCCUGUCCAACGUUAAUCGGGGCAGGGUGAGUCGACCCCUAAGGCGAGGCCGAAAGGCGUAGUCGAUGGGAAACAGGUUAAUAUUCCUGUACUUGGUGUUACUGCGAAGGGGGGACGGAGAAGGCUAUGUUAGCCGGGCGACGGUUGUCCCGGUUUAAGCAUGUAGGCUGGUUAUCCAGGCAAAUCCGGAUAAUCAAGGCUGAGGUGUGAUGACGAGGCACUACGGUGCUGAAGUAACAAAUGCCCUGCUUCCAGGAAAAGCCUCUAAGCAUCAGGUAACAUCAAAUCGUACCCCAAACCGACACAGGUGGUCAGGUAGAGAAUACCAAGGCGCUUGAGAGAACUCGGGUGAAGGAACUAGGCAAAAUGGUGCCGUAACUUCGGGAGAAGGCACGCUGGUGUGUAGGUGAAGUCCCUGCGGAUGGAGCUGAGACCAGUCGAAGAUACCAGCUGGCUGCAACUGUUUAUUAAAAACACAGCACUGUGCAAACACGAAAGUGGACGUAUACGGUGUGACGCCUGCCCGGUGCCGGAAGGUUAAUUGAUGGGGUUAUCCGUAAGGAGAAGCUCUUGAUCGAAGCCCCGGUAAACGGCGGCCGUAACUAUAACGGUCCUAAGGUAGCGAAAUUCCUUGUCGGGUAAGUUCCGACCUGCACGAAUGGCGUAAUGAUGGCCAGGCUGUCUCCACCCGAGACUCAGUGAAAUUGAACUCGCUGUGAAGAUGCAGUGUACCCGCGGCAAGACGGAAAGACCCCGUGAACCUUUACUAUAGCUUGACACUGAACAUUGAGCCUUGAUGUGUAGGAUAGGUGGGAGGCUUUGAAGCGUGGACGCCAGUCUGCGUGGAGCCAACCUUGAAAUACCACCCUUUAAUGUUUGAUGUUCUAACGUUGGCCCCUGACCGGGGUUGCGGACAGUGUCUGGUGGGUAGUUUGACUGGGGCGGUCUCCUCCCAAAGCGUAACGGAGGAGCACGAAGGUUAGCUAAUCCUGGUCG